rnacentral:rRNA from 1 species
AACGAACGCUGGCGGCAGGCCUAACACAUGCAAGUCGAGCGAGGACUUCGGUCCUAGCGGCGGACGGGUGAGUAACGCGUGGGAACGUGCCCUUUGCUUCGGAAUAGCCCUGGGAAACUGGGAGUAAUACCGGAUGAGCCCUUUGGGGGAAAGAUUUAUCGGCGAAGGAUCGGCCCGCGUUGGAUUAGGUAGUUGGUGGGGUAAUGGCCUACCAAGCCGACGAUCCAUAGCUGGUUUGAGAGGAUGAUCAGCCGCACUGGGACUGAGACACGGCCCAGACUCCUACGGGAAGCAGCAGUGGGGAAUCUUAGACAAUGGGGGAAACCCUGAUCUAGCCAUGCCGCGUGAGCGAUGAAGGCCUUAGGGUUGUAAAGCUCUUUCAGCUGGGAAGAUAAUGACGGUACCAGCAGAAGAAGCCCCGGCUAACUCCGUG